AUUGAACGCUGGCGGCAUGCCUUACACAUGCAAGUCGAACGGCAGCGGGGGAGCUUGCUCCUGCCGGCGAGUGGCGAACGGGUGAGUAAUGCAUCGGAACGUGUCCUGUUGUGGGGGAUAACUGAUCGAAAGAUCAGCUAAUACCGCAUGAGACCUGAGGGUGAAAGCGGGGGAUCGCAAGACCUCGCGCGACAGGAGCGGCCGAUGUCUGAUUAGCUAGUUGGUGAGAUAAAAGCUUACCAAGGCGACGAUCAGUAGCUGGUCUGAGAGGAUGAUCAGCCACAUUGGGACUGAGACACGGCCCAGACUCCUACGGGAGGCAGCAGUGGGGAAUUUUGGACAAUGGGGGAAACCCUGAUCCAGCCAUGCCGCGUGCGGGAUGAAGGCCUUCGGGUUGUAAACCGCUUUUGUCAGAGACGAAAAGGGACGUACGAAUAAUACGU
rnacentral:rRNA from 1 species